rnacentral:sRNA from 1 species
CUUCUUCGGCUUGUUGAGGACAGAUAAAGUGGAUGUGGGAGUCGAAGGCACCAGCUGUGAGGAUCAUCUUCUCACCGGCGAUGACAUCGGUGUUGGAGCCGAUCACCAUGCCGGGGGUCACACCUUCGAUGGUAUCGGGGUUUCCGGCUUUUCCGAUAUGUGUGAUAUUUCCGUUCGUGAUUCCGACGUCAGCCUUGUAGAUUCCGGUAUAAUCGACAACCAACGCAUUCGUAAUCACCAGAUCCAAACACUCAGAAUCCUUCCGUCCACUCGCCUGUCCCAUGCCAUCCCUCAACG